AGGACCUUCAAUGAAGUUUCCAUCCUAAAGUGUGAUGCAACACCAGCCUCCACGUUUUAAUGCAGCAGGAGAGGCUCACUAACAUUGGUACCAUGCUUUGGAACUUCCCAGUCUUCAGAACUUUUUGGGAAGAAUAAACAUCAUCAGAAUGGCACUGGAAGCAAAGCUACUAACUUCAUGGAGAUUGUGAAGCAGGCAACAAGAAAGAGUGCCAGUGAGAACAGAGCCCAGAGCCAGACUCCAGACCCACCUUCUCCACCUAAGCUCCACCUCCCAGCAGCACCUUUACUAUGAGUGGGAGGAGGAGAUCACUGCUGAGCAUUACAGCACUGCCAUGAUCCGAGCAGAGCUUCAAGAGUCUCUUAACACAAUCAAAUUGAAAUUAAGAUUAACUGACAAAGUGUAUUACUCUAUUCAGCCAACUAGGAAUUCACAAUAAAUAUUUCUGGUACAUUAUGGAUAUAUUAAGCAUUUUAAGUUUUUGAUAUUUACAUGGAAAAUGAAGGCAAAUGGACGUCAAAUGCUUGAACUUGAAAUCUCUACCUUAAACUGCCAUUGCGCCACUACAAUACCAAUCUGUUUCAUUAUAUGACAAAGUGUUCCCUGCCAUCCCAGAGUCUAUAUUUUUUUUUUUUUUUUAAUUUUGCAGGCCUAGUGGUUUGAACUCAGGGAUGCUCUGUCACUGAGUUACAUUUCAGUCCUAUAUUCAUUUAUUACUUACUUUAGGGUCUUGCCAAAUUGUCCAGGCUUAUUUAAAACUUGUGAUGCAUCUACUCUGAUUGUACAUAAUGGUACAUUACGUACACAUUGUACAUAAUGAUAAUCAUGGAAGCCAGUUACCACAAUGGAAGUGCAUCAGGUAAGGCACUGGUAGAGGCUAUUAUUUUUCUAAUACAAAGUUGACAGGCUUAGCCAACUUGUAGUUUCCAAUCUGACCAAUCCUUUAGCUGUACUCAAGUAAUACUGUCCAGGUGCAAAAAAUUAAAGGUGUAUUUAUUUACUUAUUCUUGUCCUCACACAUUCAAUCAAAAAUACUCCAUCAAUUUUAAAUGGGAAGGGAAUCAAGAGAUGGGCAAAGAGCAUGAAAAAAGAAUUGAGACUUGCUAUGCACAUGGACCAACUCCUCACAAAGAAUGUACUAUUUCUGUACUAUGGACAUGUAUUAAUAAAACUAGUGAAAAAAACUC